AAAAUUACUUGUCAUUCAGAAGAUAUUAAACACUGCGUUCGAAAAGAUGAUAUCCAGUCAAAAGCUAUUAAUCUUAAGUCUCUUUGCUCUUAUUUCGACAUCUGGAGUUUUCAGCCAUCAUCACCAUCAGCAGCAAGGAGGAGGAUUAGGGGAAAUUCUUGUAGCUGGUUUAAUUGCAAAAAUGUUGUCUGAGCAUCAUCACAAAGGACAUCACCAUUCACACCCAAUCUUUAUCCCGAUGCCUGUGCAUGGUCAUCAUAAAUGAUAAUGGAGCUUCUUCAAUUCAUGAGCUAUUCAUGAACCAAUUCAUGUUACAAAUAAGUGUUGUUUUUAUAUGUGUGUGCAUAGAUCAUUUGGAUGCUAUUAUGUACAGAGCUUUGUAUAAAUAGUUGCAAAAUAAUAUGUAUAAUAAUGUUAUAAAGUCAGAAAUAUUAUAUAAUGUCAGUAAUUCAAUAAAGAUGUAUUUGGCAUAUUA